AUGCAGUCGGAGAUGAGUGGUUCUCUAUUUGAUACAGCUUCAAUGACUGAUGAAGCUGGAUAUCAGUAUGAAGGCAUCCCUGUAUGUACCAUUGGUGGACCAGCAGCAUCCGUAACUAGUAGUCCUCAGUACAUGGUAGGUACGGAGUCUGCAUAUCAAUAUUCAUAUAACACCGUAUUUGAUGAUACGGAUGUCGGUCCUAGU
rnacentral:lncRNA from 1 species